rnacentral:rRNA from 1 species
AAACGACUCUCGGCAACGGAUAUCUCGGCUCACGCAUCGAUGAAGAACGUAGCAAAAUGCGAUACUUGGUGUGAAUUGCAGAAUCCCGUGAACCAUCGAGUUUUUGAACGCAAGUUGCGCCCAAAGCCAUUNGGCCGAGGGCACGUCUGCCUGGGCGUCACGCA